rnacentral:rRNA from 1 species
AAGCCUACGGGACGCAGCAGUGGGGAAUAUUGCACAAUGGGCGAAAGCCUGAUGCAGCAACGCCGCGUGAAGGAAGACGGUUUUCGGAUUGUAAACUUCUGUUCUUAGUGAAGAAAAAUGACGGUACCUGACUAAGAAGCCCCGGCUAACUACGUGCCAGCAGCCGCGGUAAUACGUAGGGGGCAAGCGUUAUCCGGAUUUACUGGGUGUAAAGGGAGCGUAGACGGCGAUGCAAGUCUGAAGUGAAAGGCGGGGGCCCAACCCCCGGACUGCUUUGGAAACUGUAUGGCUGGAGUGCAGGAGAG